AUUUUUUUGUAGCCCUAAUAAAAAUUCAUAACUUAGUUUACAAACUGAAUAAUGUGUAGACAAAAAGAUAGGCAUUCCAUUAAGCAUAGCAGUUAUUACCAGUGGCGGAGCUACGUUAGUGGAGAGGGGGGCAACUGCCCCAGAUAAAACAAAAUAUUUAUCCAAAUCGUUAAGUAAUUAACCAAAGUUUUACUAGAUCAGCUUGUCUUGUCCCCGUUGAAAUUUUCUUCCUGCCCCCAC
rnacentral:lncRNA from 1 species